rnacentral:misc_RNA from 1 species
GGGAGCAAAGAAGAAAGCCAAAAAGAAAAGUCGAUUUUCGUGACUGGUUGCAUUUACUGCUGGUGAAAUUGCGUCUUUUUCGCGUACAAAACCCGCCCAAAAGUGCCGAAAUUGUGCGCGAAAGUGUUCCCGACAGCGUAGGCAACGAGUUCCGCUAGCAGGAUGUCCUCCCGGGAGAUUGUAAUCGCCUCCGACAGUGACUCGUCCGCGGAGGACAAAUCGCCGGAAAAGUUGGACUCCAAGAAGAGUUCGAAGAAGCAUAAGAAACACAAGAAGCAUAAAAAGUCGUCGUCCUCUUCGCGCCAGGAAAAGGGCGAAAAGUCCAAAUCGAAAAAGCACAAAAAACACAAACGCAAAUCCCGCGCCGAGGACGGCGAAGUCAGCGAUUCCGCGGGAGAGGAUGACGGGUCGCAGAACCACAAGAACGGCUCCAAGAUCGACAUCAAAAAGCUCGAGCACGCGGUUCGCGUCAAGCCGGCCAAGAAUGAAGACGGCGGCAACUUGAAGGCCCUGCUGGAGAAGUCCAAAGCCGUGCCGGAGAUUUCGACGGAUCCGGAAAAGUUGGUGGCGAUUCUGACGCAAUCGCUGGACAAGGGCAAGCCGGACGUGGUGUCGGUGGAGAGUGACAGCGACGGGACGGCCGUUGAGGACGCGCCGAGUCCGGACGUGGCAGUUAUCGAGGAUGAGCUGAACUUGGAGGAUUUGAUGCGUCAGAAGGCACUGUUGCAGGCCCGGCUCGGGGAGUUUGCCUCGGACGAGGAAGAGGACGUGGUGGAGGAGGGCAAGUCGCGGAGGUCGUCGGACAAGCGCAAGAAGAAGCGAAGCGAUGAGGUCAUUACGAUUGAGGGCGAUUCGAGCGCGGAGGACGUCAACCGGCUGCUGAAGAAGGCUAGACAGCGGAGUCGGUCUCGAGGACACGAGGAACCACGCAAGAGGCGAUCCCCGGACACGGAGAGACGCGUCGUCCGAGCGGAACAAGAAUCGAAGGCCCGAGCGCGGCAGCAGGAGCAAGAUCGAGAACGCGCCAGGGAAGAUCAUCGCCGCCAGCGUGAGCAUGAAGAGUACAACCGAAGGAUGGCCGAAGAGCGGUACGAGCGUGAGAAGGCACGUGAGAGGGAUAGAGAGAGGAUGGAUCGCGAACGGGCGAGGGCGAGGCAGAGGGAGCGUGAUAGAUCCUUGGAUCGUUACAACCGUGGACGUCCACUGGACCGCAGCCGUGACCGAGGAGGACGCCGUUCAAUGGAUCGAGGCAGGCGGAACAGCUCCAGAGAUCGCUUCCGUGGUCGAAGCCGCAGCCGGGACCGUGGCAGGUACGACCGAGAUGAUCGAGGUGGCCGAAACGGACGAGAUCGCGGAGGACGUCGCAAACCCGAGGACGACAAGUACAAGGACUCGCUCAGCGAGGGCCUGAAACAGCAGAAAGAGUCCAGCAGUGACAGCGAAAUCGGGGACAUUGACAUCGACGACGAAGAAGACGAGGAGAAGAUCAUCGAGAAGCGCAGAAAGCAACGCGAGGAACUGCUCAAGAAACUUGGCGCCAACAACGACGACAGCAACCCACCGCCAUCCGACAGUCAUUCGUCACCCCAAAUCGUAACAAAACAAGAACCACCACCAAAAUCACCCAUCAAACCACUCCCAGCCAGCAAACCCCGCAAAAAAUCCAACGACUAUUUCAUCAUCGAAGAACCGUCCAAAGCCUCGGACCGGCGACGCUCCAGCCACAACGACUCGCUGACCCCACCGAUCCCCAUCACCAGAGUGCAAACCAGCAACGCCGAAACCAAGAAGACAAAAGCCCAGCCGUCCCAACCCGCGUCCGAGGACGACGAAACCGAAGACGACGACGACCAGUCGAAGCAGGAAAAGUCCUCGAAGCGCGCCGAGUGGGACAUGUUUGCCGAGCAGGACAUCGAUUCCAACUUUGACUCGCCCAGCACGGUGGUGGCGAGCAAGCAGGGCGCGGAAAACCCCGCCCUCACGGACAACUGGGACGACGCCGAGGGGUACUACCGGGUGCGCAUCGGCGAGGUGCUCGACAGUCGGUACGUGGUGGCGAACUACACCGGCCAGGGCGUAUUCAGUACGGUGGUGCGGGCGAAGGAUCAGGCGCGCGGGAACGCGAUGGUGGCGGUGAAGAUUAUACGGAACAAUGAAAUCAUGCACAAAACUGGACUGCGUGAGCUGGAGACGCUGAAAAAGCUGAACGACACCGACCCGGAAGAUCGCUACCACUGUUUGAGACUGUUCCGGCACUUUUUCCACAAACAGCAUCUGUGCAUGGUCCUGGAGCCGCUCGCGAUGAACCUGCGCGAAGUGCUGAAAAAGUACGGCAAAAACGUGGGCCUGCACAUUAAGGCCGUGCGCAGCUACACCCAGCAGCUGCUGUUGGCACUGAAGCUGCUGAAAAAGUCCGGCAUCCUGCACGCGGACAUCAAGCCGGACAACAUCCUCGUCAACGACAACAAUCUGGUGCUGAAGCUGUGCGACUUUGGGUCGGCGUCCGCCGUCGCGGACAACGACAUCACGCCGUAUCUGGUAUCGCGGUUCUAUCGUGCACCGGAGAUCAUUCUCGGUCUGUCGUACGACUACGGCAUCGACAUGUGGUCCGCCGGUUGCACCAUCUAUGAAUUGUAUACUGGCAAAAUCUUAUUUAGUGGUAAAUCAAAUAAUCAAAUGCUUAAAUUUUUUAUGGAUUUAAAGGGCAAGAUACCGAACAAGAUCAUACGGAAAGGCCAGUUUAAGGAUCAGCAUUUCGAUCAGAACUGCAACUUCCUGUCGCACGAGAUCGACAAGAUUACCGAGCGGGAAAAAGUCGUCGUCGUGUCGGUGAUCAAACCGAACCGUGACCUGCAGCAGGAGCUGAUUGCCGGCCAAAAUCUGCCCGAUGACCAGAUUCGCAAAGUGGGCCAGCUGAAGGAUCUGCUGGACAAGGUGUUUGCGCUGGAUCCGGCGAAGCGAAUCUCCCUGAACCACGCGCUGGCGCAUCCCUUCAUCCAGGAUAAGAUCUGAGCGAGAUAAUCCGCGAAGGUGGCCCAGCGCCAGAAGUGGUGGAGCGCUUCGUCGUACUAAUUAUAUCAAUGUGUGAUAAGCCCCAUAGAGGAAGAAGAGUUGACACGUUGACGAUCUCUUGUUUUUACGAUGCAAAAAUAAGAGAGCCGCGUGGAUCACCUUACACAGUGGGCUGGCUGGCUGACGGCGGCGGCGGCGGCGGACGACUCGCCCUCCUACGCAUGGCCGAACCACGCAGCACCACCACCAACCUCUCUUUGUCUCAGUCCUCGAUCGUCGCCACCGCCCACACACGCAUCCCGGAAGCCAAACGAGUGCUGUAAAGAUGAAACAGUCCCUUCAAAAAAAAGUUAAGAAUCUUUGGAGCAAUUGUGCGUGUGCUGCUUGUGUGUGGGUGUGGGUGCGUGUGCACGCAAGGUUGAGCCAGUGCCUAUUUUUUCCGGGCGCCGUAAGAGGUAGUGACAUAAUUGACAUUUUCAAGUCAUUCUUAGUUUUACGUUUCGUUUAAACUCCUCUAUUUUACACUUUUAUUUUUCUUACUCUUGCCUCCUUUAAUCCCAAAUGCCCAUCCCAACUCUUCCAAAUUUGUUCAAAUUUAAACCAAAAACAAAAAUCAAACAAUCUAGCCAUUUCAAUACGAUACAAUUAUCCUGUGAGCGAGUGAUCUUCUGCUGUUCUUUUUUCUUUUCUUCUUUUGGUACUCUUUUCAGGUCUGAAGGACGAUUUCCCCCCAAUCAUAUG